AUACGGAAGGUCCGGGCGUUAUCCGGAUUUAUUGGGUUUAAAGGGAGCGCAGGCGGAGAUGCAAGCGUGACGUCAAAUUUCGGGGCUCAACCCCGUCUCGCGUCGCGAACUGCGUCCCUUGGUUGCGGGAAGGGGAGGCGGAACUCGUGGUGUAGCGGUGAAAUGCAUAGAUAUCACGAAGAACUCCGAUCGCGAAGGCAGCCUUCCGGCCCGUCAACGACGCUCAUGCUCGAAGGUGCGGGUAUCAAACAGGAUUAGAGACCCUGGUAGUCCGCACAGUAAACGAUGGACACCCGCGGUUUGGCCUGUAUGGCUGAGCCGCCAAGCGAAAGCGUUAAGUGUCCCACCUGGGGAGUACGCCGGCAACGGUGAAACUCAAAUGAAUUGACGGGG
rnacentral:rRNA from 1 species